CGUCACGGUAUGCGACACUUGUCAUGCUAAUUGUUUGCCGUGGGAUCCCUUUAAAAGCCCGGCACUGCUGCAGCCAGGGCCAAACACUUGAAAUAUUGCCCUUAUCGUGCGUCGCAGUGUGCCGUAUUUGGGGUACCACUCAAUCGGUGGGUGCGCGUCCUUGUUUAAGUUACCGGCUGCUUUGCUGUGUUGCGGUGUCAGCACUUAGCAACGGGAGUUCACCUCUCUUCGUCUUCGGCCGUGGUGGGUCGCUUACCGGAAGUACACAAGAUCAAGGCUGCAUUUUGGUCACCGGCUGCUGUUUUGUCAUCAAUAACCCUUUUAGUUUUAUGACUCUUAUUUAGCGAAUGCUCUAUCGCGGCGGCACCGUACGAGGGUGGCCGGAGCAUCUGAGUGGUAACGUGUGAUCGUGUGUGUUGGUGCGUGUGUGCGUGCAGGUGAUUGUGUGAGUUAGCGUUGAGGGCGCUGGGUGUGUGUAGACGUGCUCCGUGUUGGCGUGGGGUGCAUGCUCGUGCGUGUGUGUGUGCGUAUGGAUAUCGGGUAUGGGGUUUCCUGGUGGGUAGCAUGAGGAAUGAUCUACUGUGAUAUUGUAUUGUAAACAUAACCUUCUUUGUUAGCUGUCUUGGUUGUUGUUGUUGUUGUUGUCUAUUUUCGGUUUGGGUGUCUUGCGUCUGAUGCUAGGCCCCACCUGUGACUAGUCUGCCCUCCUGGGCCCGUGUGUUUCACCUUGACUUUUCACACAUUCCAGGAUUGGUUAAGGCACCUUGUUGUGCCCGUUGGGGAAGUGUUGUGUUGUGAUUUGUACUGGUGUUAUUACCUGUGGCCAUAACUGCUAUUUGGUUAGCCCUGUGGGCUCAGACCUAACUGGUGGGGCCCUUUUCUGAUGUUGU